GCGUUUGUAGUCCAACUUUUAGGAUAAUUGCCUUCCAAGCAAUAGACUCAGGUUCGACUCCCAACAAACGCA
rnacentral:tRNA from 1 species